GACGAACGCUGGCGGCGCGCCUAACACAUGCAAGUCGAACGGAGCUGAGAGAAGCUUGCUUUUCUUAGCUUAGUGGCGAACGGGUGAGUAACGCGUGAGUAACCUGCCCUGGAGUGGGGGACAACAGUUGGAAACGACUGCUAGUACCGCAUAAGCCCACGAUCCGGCAUCGGAUUGAGGGAGAAGGAUUUAUUCGCUUCAGGAUGGACUCGCGUCCAAUUAGCUAGUUGGUGAGGUAACGGCCCACCAAGGCGACGAUUGGUAGCCGGACUGAGAGGUUGAACGGCCACAUUGGGACUGAGACACGGCCCAGACUCCUACGGGAGGCAGCAGUGGGGGAUAUUGCACAAUGGGGGAAACCCUGAUGCAGCGACGCCGCGUGGAGGAAGAAGGCUUUCGGAUUGUAAACUCCUGUCGUUAGGGACGAUAAUGACGGUACCUAACAAGAAAGCACCGGCUAACUACGUG
rnacentral:rRNA from 1 species